rnacentral:rRNA from 1 species
GGAGGUAACGACGUGAGUAACCUGCCUCUCAGAGGGGGAUAACGUUCUGAAAAGAACGCUAAUACCGCAUAUAAUUAUGAGGUCGCAUGACUUUAUAAUGAAAGGAGCAAUCCGCUGAGAGAUGGACUCGCGUCUGAUUAGCUUGAUGGUGAGGUAACGGCUCACCAUGGCGACGAUCAGUAGCCGGACUGAGAGGUUGAACGGCCACAUUGGGACUGAGACACGGCCCAGACUCCUACGGGAGGCAGCAGUGGGGGAUAUUACGCAAUGGGGGAAACCCUGAACCGUAGCAAUGCCGCGUGAAGGAAGAAGGUUUUCGGAUUGUAAACUUCUUUUGUCAGGGACGAUAAUGACGGUACCUGACGAAUAAGCUCCGGCUAACUAUGUGCCAGCAGCUGC